GAAAGUACAAAACUGUGAUUCAGUUGAAGAGAUAUUUAAAGUACUUGAGAAAAGCUCUGACACGGUGGAGGAAAUUGUUCCCAAGGAGGAAGCAAUCCCUAGGUUUGUGUUUUCUAAAUUAACCUUGUUGAAUUUACAGAUGCUACCAAGUCUCAAAAGUUUCUACCCGGAGAUACAUAUUUCAGAAUGACCAGAUUUAGAAGUGUUGAAGGUGCAUGGAUGUAAUAACCUGAGGAUCCUUGCUUCAGAAUUAUUGAGCAUCCGAGGGAGUCAUGGCUACAGUGAAGAAACACUGUUCUUUGUUUACAAGGAUGCAUUCCCUAGCUUGGAAGAACUAGAAUUAUGUGAAAUGCCCAGGUUACUGCAUCUGUGGAAAGGAAUUUCUCAGCCGAGCAAUGCUUUUCAAAAUCUCAAUACUCUAAAACUGUCAGAAUGUAGCAGUUUAGAAAAUUCAUGGUCCUCAUUAGUGUCUUUCCAGAAUUUGGAAACUCUUCAAGUUUCAAAGUGUGAUGAAUUGAGAUAUUUACUGACCCCCUCAAAAGCUAAAACUCUGGGUAGACUUACUAGAAUGAAUAUAUCUGAUUGCAAAAUGAUGGAGGAAAUUGUAACACGUUUGGGAGGUGAAGUAAUAGAAAAUUCAAUUGUUUUCUGCAAAUUGGAUCAUUUGGAACUUCACUGUUUGGCCAGCCUUAAAGGCUUCUGUUGUGGGGAUUAUACUCUGGAAUUCCCAUCCUUGAAAAAAGUAGUAGUCAGAAAGUGCUUGGAGAUGGAGACUUUUUGUCAUGGAGUUUUAAGCACACCAAAGCUCCAAAGACUACAGUUUACAGAAGGAGAGGAUGAAGUAGAAGAAUAUUGGUAAGGCAAUCUUAAUUCCACCAUACAAUAUUUAUUCAAAAAUAUGAAUGUGCGGAGCUCCAAAGAAUAUUGAGGCCAUUCCUUCAAUACUUUGUGAUAGAUCGCGGCUCUAUUUCCUCCAGGUGAAAAGGGACUUUGUUACUGCCAUCUUUUUAGCUGAUUUUAUCCUUACAUUUUGUUGAAGGUGAAGUGCCCUCUCUUUACACAUUUGUCCAGUUGUUGUUUUAUGUAUUCCAAUUUCCCGAGUUGCCAAGACACUUUGGGCAGACCAGAAUGCUGUUUGUUAAUUUGUGUGCUGAAGAAUUAUGUCGUCAACUGAAGAUUUGUAUCCUUGUAAAAGCAAUCAAAACAGAGCAAGCCCUUGUAUCAA